GUGGAGUUUCUUGAGUUUCUACAGAUCUAGGCUAUUUGUAAAUGACAAUAAAUAGCAUUUACAAUGGCAGAUGCCAAACUAAAGAGAGAUAUUGAUCUUCUGAUUUAUAAAAGAGAUAAUAUUGUUCAAAAAAUUGAGUUUUUGCACAAUCAAGCUGAAACUUUGUCUAUAGAGGCUAGCCCAAUUGAAUUAUCAGAGUUCAAAGUUCGUUGUGAUCGUCUCCCUGCCCACUAUGAAAGUUUUGAGCGUUACCAAUCUGACAUAGUGAAAGGUUAUGUCCAGCUCAAAGAUACUUCUCAGCUGGAGGGAAUUCUUGCCAAAAAUAAGGUUGUAGAUGAGAAAUAUUUUUUUAUUCUUGCUACCAAAGACAAGUUUCUUUCACCUCUUGUUAGACAGGAAAAUGUUGAAAAUGUUAAGCCUAUCGCCUCCACAGCUGUUAGACUCCCAAAAAUCAAUCUACCCACAUUCGAGGGAGUUUUGAAAGACUGGCCUCAUUACAAGGACCUUUUUCUUGCUCUUGUUCACAAUAAUGUAUCGUUAUCCCCUGUAGAAAAACUUCAUUUUUUACUUUCAAGUACAAAGGGUGAACCGCAUACCUUGGUAAAAGGCAUUCCCAUUUGUUCUGACAACUAUGAACUUGUUUGGACACAGUUAAAUGAGAGAUAUGAUAACAAAAGGUUGUUAGCAGCCAAUUACAUUGAUGAAAUUUUAAGUCUUACCCCCAUCCAUUUCGAGUCUCCUAAGCCAUUAAGAACUCUACUGGACACACUUAAUGAGAACACUUCAGCCUUAAAGCAAAUGGAGAUACCUGACAGCUUAGGUGAAUUUAUUAUUCUGCACGUAGCUCUGAAAACCGUGGACAGGCAUACAAGACAGUUAUUUGAACGCAAGUUCUCUAAUAGGGAAUAUCCCUCCUUGUCCGAUUUCAUUGAAUUUCUAAAGGAACACUGCAAGUCACUCGAAGCUGCAGGUGAGACACAACCUAACCUAAAGUUUGGACAGUAUAAGGUAGGCUACAAAAAUGCUCCAAACAAGACUACCUUUCCAAGUGCCCCGACCAAAAGGGUAUUUGUUGUCAAUAGCCCUACUACCAAUCAAUCUAAACCGCCAGUCACUUGUAUUUCAUGUGGUAGCCAAGAACAUAACAUUUAUCGUUGCCAAUCUUACUUAAAUUUGUCUCCAACCCAAAGAAGAGAUCUAAUCAAAUCCAAGGAAGCAUGUUUUAACUGUUUAAGCAUAUCACAUAUGUUAAGCAAAUGUCGUUCAUCCCGCACAUGUUUCAAAUGUAGAAAAUCACAUCACACAACGCUUCAUGUUUCUUAUCCAGAAUCUGAUUCUUUGGUUAAGGCUACGCCGACAUCAACUUCUAAGCAAGAAGAAAAAUUAUCCCCUGCUCCUACCUCUGCAUUUACCUGCAUUAGGCCUACAUGUGAUUCAAGCCCGAAAGACGAAACUUACUUUAAGCCUACAACCAUUCUCUUAGGUACUGCCAUUGUUCGCAUUCUAGAUGUUUGUGGUAAUCCUCAACAGGUUAGAGCAUUAAUUGAUGCUGGUAGCCAAAGUUCCUUCAUUACUGAAUCAUGUGUCAGUCAGUUGUGUUUACCGAGACGGAAAGUUGUUCAACCAAUUUUAGGAUUGUCUGAAGUGUCUGUUUCCAGCAACAAAGGACUAGUACCCUGUGUAAUCAAGCCUUUGCAUCAAGAUAACCCUUCACUGAGAACGGAAGCCAUUGUUUUAAAUCGGAUCACUUCACCGCUACCUUCUACUGCUCUUGAUGAUAAGGUUAAAAUGUUAUUUCAAGGUUGGGAUUUGGCCGAUCCGGAGUUUUACCAACCUGGAAGAGUUGAUCUUCUUAUUGGUGCUGAUUUGUUCCCACAGCUUUUUGACGGUGGGCGGCGUGAUACGCCAUCUGGAUUCCCUACUGCCUUUCACACCAUUUUUGGAUGGUUGCUCAUCGGUGAAUCACGUUUGCCAAUUCCAACGACUCAGUCCGUUUCUGUUAAUUUAGCUAUAUUAGACCAAGUAUCACUGGAGUCGAAUCUGCGCAAGUUCUGGGAAAUUGAAGAACCCCCGAUGAAUCAUUGCCAAACUAGCCCAGAAGAUGAACGAUGUGAGUCAAUCUACGCGUCAACAGUUCAAAGAGAUUCAGCUGGUCGUUUUGUUGUUGACCUGCCCUUUAAAAAUGAUUGUCCCGACCUUGGUGAGUCGUACAGCAGAGCCAAGCAUUGUUUUUUAUCUCUGGAAAGAAAAUUCAAUCAAAAUCCUGAUCUAAAAGGAGCCUACUCAACAUUCAUGAAUGAAUAUAGAGAUUUGGGUCACAUGUCCGAGGUUGUAAACUCUGUAACACCAGCUUACUACAUCCCGCAUCACGGAAUCUUCAAGAAAAACUCCUCUUCGUCAAAACUACGAGUAGUAUUUAAUGCAUCAGCUCCAACCUCAACUGGAAAAUCACUAAAUGAUGAAUUGUUAAUAGGUCCGAAGCUUCAGACUGACAUUUGUAAAAUUCUUUCGCUUUUUCGCCUUCACUUGUAUGUAUUUACAACCGACAUUGAGAAAAUGUAUCGUCAAAUACUUGUCAACCCGCAACAUAAGUCUUUUCAAGCAAUUUUGUGGAGAGAUAGCCCAGAGAAACCUAUGUCUACCUUUCUUCUCAACACAGUAACCUACGGUGUAUCAAGUUCGCCAUUCUUAGCCUUGCGUUCUUUAAGACAGCUGGCUUUGGAAGACUCCGAAAAAUAUCCUCUUGCAAGUGAGGUUAUUUUAAACUCAAUGUUUGUCGAUGAUGUCCUUACAGGAGGUGACUCACUUGAUCACACCCUGAAAAUAAAAUCUGAACUAAUCAGUCUCUUAGAUUCUGGUGGAUUUAAACUUAGGAAAUGGUCCAGCAACAAUCAUAAAAUAUUAGAAGAUGUUCCAUCUCAUGAUCAAGAAUUCAUUUUUGGAGACGAAAGCUCUGCCGAUCCCUCUAUCAAAGUCUUAGGCCUUAAAUGGAAUCCAAAUUCAGACAAGUUUUCUUACGAUGUUCACAUAGGACAACCACCUUCUACCAAACGUGGCCUAUUGUCUCAAGUAUCCAAGGUCUAUGACCCGCUUGGGUUAAUUACACCUGUAGUCCUUUGGGCAAAAUGUUUGAUCCAAAAAAUUUGGACUCUGGGACUCGACUGGGAUCAACCGCUGCCAAUUGAUAUUGUUCGUCAGUCUUCCAAGUUUUUUGAAACUCUUCCUCAUCUCAGCAACUUAACCAUUCCCCGACUGGUUCUGCUUCCAGAAACCACUGACGUUCAGCUCCAUGGAUUUUCGGAUGCCUCGGAAGUUGGCUACGGAUGUGCUAUCUACUUAAGAGUUGUUAAUUCUGAUGGAAAACCUCUUACCAACCUUAUUAUGGCAAAAUCCAAAGUUGCACCCUUAAAGAAAAUUUCAAUUCCUCGCUUAGAGUUGUGUGGAGCAGUUUUACUUAGUAAAACAAUGUUUUUUUGUAAAAACAUGUUAGCCUACAAAUUUGGAAAUAUACCCACUUUCGCCUGGACCGACUCUCUAGUAACACUACACUGGAUCCGCACCGCACCUCAUCAGCUCAAGACUUUUGUGGCUAACCGGGUCGCUGAACUCCAGACUUUGCUCGAACCCGCUUGCUGGCGACAUACACCGACAGAUACCAAUCCUGCUGAUUACGCAUCAAGAGGCCUACUACCCCAUGAAAUCUUAAGAAAUUCCCUAUGGUGGAUUGGACCUAAUUGGCUCAUGGAGGAACCAAUGUCUUGGCCAACUCAACCUUUACCUGCUCUAACACCCAACGAGUCACUGCUUGAGUUUCGCCCAUCUGCGACAUGUGCACUAGUUGCCGCCAAAGACACAAAGAAUGAGUUCACUGCCUUAGUUGACAAACAUUCACAGUUCACCAAACUACAAUCUUGUAUUGGAUGGAUAUUAAGGUUCAUACAUAAUUGCCAAAAGAAGAAAGAGAAGAUUACUGAACCAUUUCUUACUUCUAAGGAACGUGCAUCAGCCCUACACCUACUUGUGAAACUAACUCAAUCAAGUUACUUACCUGAUCACAUUGAUAAACUUGCCACUGAUCAGACAUGUCCUAGUCUUCAGCGGUUAAGUCCAUUUUUAGAUGAACAAGGACUCAUUCGUGUGGGUGGACGUUUGAAAAAUUCCCAGCUACCAUACAAUGCUAAAUUUCCUAUGUUGUUGCCAAAACAAUGUCACUUAACCAACCUACUUAUAGACCACUACCAUCUCAAGCACUUGCAUGUAGGCCCAAGAACCUUGCAGUCACUACUGUCUCAACAGUUUUGGAUUAUUUCAGCUAGGCAAGUCAUCCGUCAUCGAUUAUCCAAGUGCCUAGUUUGUGUUAAAAUGAAAGCUAACUCCAUUCAACCAUACAUGGGUAACUUACCUGGCUCACGAAUUACGCAAAGCCGCCCUUUUCUCCAUGUAGGCAUUGAUUUUGGUGGACCCUUUACCACAAAAACGGACAAGUUGCGCAAACCACAGUUACUGAAGAGCUAUGUAUGUUUGUUCAUAUGUUUUAGUACAAAAGCAAUCCAUCUCGAGUCAGUCUCGUCUCUCUCUACGGAAGCAUUCUUAGCUUGUUUUGAUCGAUUCGUCUCAAGAAGAGGUCUUUGUGCACAUAUCUACUCAGACCAAGCAACUAACUUCGUGGGAGCAGAUCGAGAACUCCAAGAACUUCACAGUCUACUUCACAAGACUCCAACUUCAGAUGCCGUUCUUUCAAAACUCGCCCAGAUGGGAAUCAGCUGGCACUUCAACCCACCUGCUGCACCACAUUUUGGCGGACUAUGGGAAAGUGGAAUCAAGUCCAUGAAGUAUCACUUAAAACGAGUUGUUGGAAAUCAGAUUCUAACUUUUGAAGAGUUCUCAACAUUAUUGACAAAGGUCGAAGCAGUCCUCAAUUCUAGGCCUCUGUGUAGUCUUUCAACUGAUCCCAACGAGUAUGAGACUCUAACCCCUGGACAUUUUCUCAUAGGAGAGCCUUUGGUAGCUAUCCCCCAGACUGAUUUAACAAACCUUCCACAGAAUCGUCUUUCUCGCUGGCAAAUGAUCCAACAGGCACAACGAUCCUUUUGGAAAGUAUGGAGUCAAGAUUACUUGCAUCAGUUACAACAGCGAUACAAAUGGACACGAGAUUCACCCAAUUUGAAAAUCAAUGACUUAGUCCUAAUAAAGGACAAAAACCUUCCCCCUUUGAAGUGGACUACAGCUCGUGUCAUCCAGACACACCCAGGGAAGGAUGGCAUCGUCCGAGUCGCCACUCUGAAGACACCAGCUGGACAACUUCAGCGACCUGUCGUGCAGCUGUGUCCCCUUCCUCAAGAGAAUUAAUUUGUUUUUAUUUGCCAAGAAGAUGUUUUUCGUUGUGUUUUUUUCCUUUUCAAGAAAUUUUGAGUUAUUUACAUAGAACUAUGAGACAUAAAUUUUGUGUGAAAAAGACUAAAUCUUUUUGGUGGGCGGAAAUGUUAAGGCCAGAUUUAUUUUAGUUUCAAAAACAUUUUAUUUUAAUCCCCUUUGCUUGACCAGAAUAAUUUCAUUUUAUUUCCCCAAUACCUACAGCCAGUUUACCUAUCCAUCCUAUAACCAGUAUUCAAAUUUGCCGCCAUACCCCACUACCUCAAAUCAAGAGUCACCUGGGAAGAACACUGGGUCACAUGACCUCACUUCUCCAAUAUGGCUGGAACAACAGGAAUCUACAGUAUGAGUUACGGAUGUGGAGAGAGAGCGUGGCAAACCGCUGAGCAAGUAUGAUCGCAACAUGAUGAUCUUCAACUGGCUACACACACUGGAUGAGAGCUCGGUAGAGAGCCAAUG